UACGAAGGGGGCUAGCGUUGCUCGGAAUCACUGGGCGUAAAGCGCACGUAGGCGGAUUGCUAAGUCAGGGGUGAAAUCCUGGAGCUCAACUCCAGAACUGCCUUUGAUACUGGCGAUCUUGAGUCCGGGAGAGGUGAGUGGAACUGCGAGUGUAGAGGUGAAAUUCGUAGAUAUUCGGAAGAACACCAGUGGCGAAGGCGGCUCACUGGUCCGGUACUGACGCUGAGGUGCGAAAGCGUGGGAGCAACAGG
rnacentral:rRNA from 1 species